rnacentral:rRNA from 1 species
CAAAGGAAUUGACGGGACCCGCACAAGCGGUGGAUGAUGUGGAUUAAUUCGAUGCGACGCGAAAACCUUACUACCCUUGACAUGCCUGGAACCUUGCUGAGAGGCGAGGGUGCCUUCGGGAGCCAGAACACAGGUGCUGCAUGGCUGUCGUCAGCUCGUGUCGUGAGAUGUUGGGUUAAGUCCCGCAACGAGCGCAACCCUUGUCAUUAGUUGCCAUCAUUUAGUUGGGCACUCUAAUGAGACUGCCGGUGACAAACCGGAGGAAGGUGGGGAUGACGUCAAGUCCUCAUGGCCCUUAUGGGUAGGGCUUCACACGUCAUACAAUGGUCGGUACAGAGGGUUGCCAAGCCGCGAGGUGGAGCCAAUCCCUUAAAGCCGAUCGUAGUCCGGAUCGUAGUCUGCAACUCGACUACGUGAAGUCGGAAUCGCUAGUAAUCGCGAAUCAGCAUGUCGCGGUCGAAUACGUUCCCGGGCCUU